rnacentral:rRNA from 1 species
AUUGAACGCUGGCGGCAUGCCUUACACAUGCAAGUCGAACGGUAGCGGGCCUUCGGGUGCCGACGAGUGGCGAACGGGUGAGUAAUGUAUCGGAACGUACCUUUCAGUGGGGGAUAACGUAGCGAAAGUUACGCUAAUACCGCAUAUUCUGUGAGCAGGAAAGCAGGGGGUCGCAAGACCUUGCGCUGAUUGAGCGGCCGAUAUCAGAUUAGCUAGUUGGUGAGGUAGAGGCUCACCAAGGCGACGAUCUGUAGCGGGUCUGAGAGGAUGAUCCGCCACACUGGAACUGAGACACGGUCCAGACUCCUACGGGAGGCAGCAGUGGGGAAUUUUGGACAAUGGGGGCAACCCUGAUCCAGCCAUGCCGCGUGAGUGAAGAAGGCCUUCGGGUUGUAAAGCUCUUUCGGCCGGGAAGAAAUCGUAUCAGCUAAUACCUGGUGCGGAUGACGGUACCGGCAUAAGAAGCACCGGCUAACUACGUGCCAGCAGCCGCGGUAAUAC